GAUGAACGCUGGCGGCGUGCUUAACACAUGCAAGUCGAACGGGAAUUAUUUUAUUGAAACUUCGGUCGAUUUAAUUUAAUUCUAGUGGCGGACGGGUGAGUAACGCGUGGGUAACCUGCCUUAUACAGGGGGAUAACAGUCAGAAAUGGCUGCUAAUACCGCAUAAGCGCACAGAGCUGCAUGGCUCAGUGUGAAAAACUCCGGUGGUAUAAGAUGGACCCGCGUUGGAUUAGCUGGUUGGUGGGGUAACGGCCCACCAAGGCGACGACCCAUAGCCGGCCUGAGAGGGUGAACGGCCACAUUGGGACUGAGACACGGCCCAGACUCCUACGGGAGGCAGCAGUGGGGAAUAUUGCACAAUGGGGGAAACCCUGAUGCAGCGACGCCGCGUGAAGGAAGAAGUAUCUCGGUAUAUAAACUUCUAUCAGCAGGGAAGAUAGUGACGGUACCUGACUAAGAAGCCCCGGCUAACUACGUG
rnacentral:rRNA from 1 species